AAUAGAUGACGUCGUUAACUUUUUAUCACACGUUUGACCAUUCGUCUUGUUCAAAAAAUUUAUGUAAUUAUAAUUUAUUUUGUUGUGAGUUGUUUUAUCACUCAAAGUAUUUUAAGUAUGAUUUAUAUCUAUACAUAUACAUAAAAUUUUUUGAAUAAGACGAAUGGUCAAACAUAUGUUCAAAAGUCAAUGGCGUCAUCUAUU
rnacentral:pre_miRNA from 1 species